rnacentral:rRNA from 1 species
AACGAACGCUGGCGGCAGGCCUAACACAUGCAAGUCGAACGCCCCGCAGGGGGAGUGGCAGACGGGUGAGUAACACGUGGGAACCUUCCCUAUAGUACGGAAUAGCCCCAGGGAAACUUGGAGUAAUACCGUAUACGCCCGCAAGGGGAAAGAAUUUCGCUAUAGGAUGGGCCCCGCGUAGGAUUAGCUAGUCGGUGAGGUAACGGCUCACCAAGGGCGACGAUCCUUAGCUGGUUUGAGAGAACGACCAGCCGCACUGGGACUGAGACACGGCCCCAGACUCCUACGGGGAGGCAGCAGUGGGGAAUAUUGGACAAUGGGCGCAAGCCUGAUCCAGCCAUGCCGCGUGAGUGAUGAAGGCCUUAGGGUU